UACGGAGGGGGCUAGCGUUGUUCGGAAUUACUGGGCGUAAAGCGCACGUAGGCGGACUGUUAAGUCGGGGGUGAAAUCCUGGGGCUCAACCUCAGAAUUGCCUCCGAUACUGGCAGUCUCGAGUGCGGGAGAGGUGAGUGGAAUUCCCAGUGUAGAGGUGAAAUUCGUAGAUACUGGGAAGAACACCAGUGGCGAAGGCGGCUCACUGGCCCGUAACUGACGCUGAGGCACGAAAGUGCGGGGAUCAAACAGG
rnacentral:rRNA from 1 species